rnacentral:rRNA from 1 species
ACGCCUAACACAUGCAAGUCGAACGAAGUAGCAAUACUUAGUGGCAGACGGGUGAGUAACAUGUAGGUAUCUGCCCUUUGGCCUGGAAUAACACGAGGAAACUUGUGCUAAUACCGGAUAAGUCUUUACGGAGAAAGCUUUAUGCACCAUUGGAUGAGCCUGCACUUGAUUAGUUUGUUGGUGGGGUAAUGGCCUACCAAGACUGUGAUCAAUAGCUGAUUUGAGAGGAUGAUCAGCCACAUUGGGACUGAGACACGGCCCAAACUCCUACGGGAGGCAGCAGUGGGGAAUCUUGCACAAUGGAGGAAACUCUGAUGCAGCGAUGCCGCGUGAGUGAAGAAGGCCCUUGGGUUGUAAAGCUCUUUCGUCGGGGAAGAAAAUGACUGUACCCGAAUAAGAAGGUCCGGCUAACUUCGUGCCAGCAGCCGCGGUAAUACGAAGGGACCUAGCGUAGUUCGGAAUUACUGGGCUUAAAGAGUUCGUAGGUGGUUGAAAAAGUUGGUGGUGAAAUCCCAGAGCUUAACUCUGGAACUGCCAUCAAAACUUUUCAGCUAGAGUUUGAUAGAGGAAAGCAGAAUUUCUAGUGUAGAGGUGAAAUUCGUAGAUAUUAGAAAGAAUACCGAUUGCGAAGGCAGCUUUCUGGAUCAAUACUGACGCUGAGGAACGAAAGCAUGGGUAGCGAAGAGGAUUAGAUACCCUCGUAGUCCAUGCCGUAAACGAUGUGUGUUAGACGUUGGAAAUUUAUUUUCAGUGUCGCAGCGAAAGCGAUAAACACACCGCCUGGGGAGUACGA